rnacentral:snoRNA from 1 species
AGCCUCCUGGUGCUUACACAAGCUGUGUUCUUACUUUCUACUGACUAUAUAGAAAGAGAGGGCAUAUACAUUUCAGCCUAGGCCCUGUGCCUGGUCUGUAUUGUGAAAAGGGAGACACUG